AUUGAACGCUGGCGGCAGGCCUAACACAUGCAAGUCGAACGGUAACAGGAAGCAGCUUGCUGCUUCGCUGACGAGUGGCGGACGGGUGAGUAAUGUCUGGGAAGCUGCCUGAUGGAGGGGGAUAACUACUGGAAACGGUAGCUAAUACCGCAUAAUGUCGCAAGACCAAGGAGGGGGACCUUCGGGCCUCUUGCCAUCGGAUGUGCCCAGAUGGGAUUAGCUUGUUGGUGGGGUAACGGCUCGCCAAGGCGACGAUCCCUAGCUGGUCUGAGAGGAUGACCAGCCACACUGGAACUGAGACACGGUCCAGACUCCUACGGGAGGCAGCAGUGGGGAAUAUUGCACAAUGGGCGCAAGCCUGAUGCAGCCAUGCCGCGUGUAUGAAGAAGGCCUUCGGGUUGUAAAGUACUUUCAGCGGGGAGGAAGGGAGUAAAGUUAAUACCUUUGCUCAUUGACGUUACCCGCAGAAGAAGCACCGGCUAACUCCGUGCCAGCAGCCGCGGUAAUACGGAGGGUGCAAGCGUUAAUCGGAAUUACUGGGCGUAAAGCGCACGCAGGCGGUUUGUUAAGUCAGAUGUGAAAUCCCCGGGCUCAACCUGGGAACUGCAUCUGAUACUGGCAAGCUUGAGUCUCGUAGAGGGGGGUAGAAUUCCAGGUGUAGCGGUGAAAUGCGUAGAGAUCUGGAGGAAUACCGGUGGCGAAGGCGGCCCCCUGGACGAAGACUGACGCUCAGGUGCGAAAGCGUGGGGAGCAA
rnacentral:rRNA from 1 species